AGUAAUGUAUGGGGAUCUGCCCGAUAGAGGGGGAUAACUACUGGAAACGGUGGCUAAUACCGCAUAAUGUCUACGGACCAAAGCAGGGGCUCUUCGGACCUUGCACUAUCGGAUGAACCCAUAUGGGAUUAGCUAGUAGGUGGGGUAAGGGCUCACCUAGGCGACGAUCCCUAGCUGGUCUGAGAGGAUGAUCAGCCACACUGGGACUGAGACACGGCCCAG
rnacentral:rRNA from 1 species